GGGGAAACUUUAGUAUACGAUCCCACGAUUUCAGGGUUAAAAAUGGUAUGGUUGGAUAGGGCUGAUGCUCCAGAUUAAGAAAAUAUAUAAUUGUUGCCGCCGCAAACUUAUAGUUUCCGAGAUAUUUGCAUUUAAAGUUGAAAAUUUUGCAAAUUUUAUCUUGCAAUUUCUCGAUUGCUAGUAAUUAUUUAAUUCAUAUUAUGCGUUUCUUAUGCCGUUAUACUUCAUUACAUUGUUUCUACAUAUUUAUUUUUUAGUAAUUAUUUAGUUAUUUGCUUAAAACAAGCAUUUUAUAUUUUACACAAUUUACAUUCCAUGCACAAUAACAAAAGUAUUCCGUGUUUACAGAUAAUAAGUGUUGCCAUAAUUACACAUUUAUCAAACGAAUAAAAAUGGAUAUAAAAACUCAAACGCAGAAAACAAAUACUAUCUAAAAUAAAUUUUCCAUUGUAAUAAGAAAAGUUUUAAGGCUUAAUUGGCGGCCUUCGGCCGCGCUUCAAAAAAAAUAACCCUGGCCGAUCCAACACCGGGGUGUAUCAAGUUUUUUUUAAAUUAAAACUCCUUUUCGCGUUGGCGGCCUUCGGCCGCGCUUCAAAAAAAUAACCCUGGCCGAUCCAACACCGGGGUGUAUCAAGUUUUUUUAAGUAAAACUCCUUUUCGCGUUGGCGGCCUUCGGCCGCGCUUCAAAAAAAUAACCCUGGCCGAUCCAACACCGGGGUGUAUCAAGUUUUUUUUAAGUAAAACUCCUUUUCGCGUUGGCGGCCUUCGGCCGCGCUUCAAAAAAAUAACCCUGGCCGAUCCAACACCGGGGUGUAUCAAGUUUUUUUUUUAAGUAAAACUCCUUUUCGCGUUGGCGGCCUUCGGCCGCGCUUCAAAAAAAUAACCCUGGCCGAUCCAACACCGGGGUGUAUCAAGUUGUUUUUAAGUAAAACUCCUUUUCGCGUUGGCGGCCUUCGGCCGCGCUUCAAAAAAAUAACCCUGGCCGAUCCAACACCGGGGUGUAUCAAAUUUUUUUUUAAGUAAAACUCCUUUUCGCGUUGGCGGCCUUCGGCCGCGCUUCAAAAAAAUAACCCUGGCCGAUCCAACACCGGGGUGUAUCAAGUUUUUUUUUAAGUAAAACUCCUUUUCGCGUUGGCGGCCUUCGGCCGCGCUUCAAAAAAAUAACCCUGGCCGAUCCAACACCGGGGUGUAUCAGGUUGUUUUUAAGUAAAACUCCUUUUCGCGUUGGCGGCCUUCGGCCGCGCUUCAAAAAAAUAACCCUGGCCGAUCCAACACCGGGGUGUAUCAAAUUUUUUUUUAAGUAAAACUCCUUUUCGCGUUGGCGGCCUUCGGCCGCGCUUCAAAAAAAUAACCCUGGCCGAUCCAACACCGGGGUGUAUCAAGUUUUUUUUAAUUAAAACUCCUUUUCGCGUUGGCGGCCUUCGGCCGCGCUUCAAAAAAAUAACCCUGGCCGAUCCAACACCGGGGUGUAUCAAAAAUCUUGAUAUAUCAAGAAAAAGGGCAAUGAUUUAUGUAUUUGGGGUAUAGUCCUAUUUUUUAUUCAUUUUUAUUCGUUUGAUAAAUGUGUAAUUAUGGCAACACUUAUUAUCUGUCAACACGGAAUACUUUUGUUAUUGUGCAUGAAAUGAAAAUUGUGUAAAAUAUAAAAUGCUU